CCUACGGGUGGCAGCAGUGAGGAAUAUUGGUCAAUGGGCGGGAGCCUGAACCAGCCAAGUCGCGUGAGGGAAGACGGUCCUACGGAUUGUAAACCUCUUUUGCCGGGGAGCAACGGGGUCCUUGCGAGGGCCCAAUGAGAGUACCCGGAGAAAAAGCAUCGGCUAACUACGUGCCAGCAGCCGCGGUAAUACGUAGGGGGCAAGCGUUAUCCGGAUUUACUGGGUGUAAAGGGAGCGUAGACGGCUAAUCAAGUCAGAAGUGAAAACCCAGGGCUCAACCUUGGGACUGCUUUUGAAACUGAGUAGCUAGAGUGCAGGAGAGGUAAGCGGAAUGCCUAGUGUAGCGGUGAAAUGCGUAGAUAUUAGGAGGAACACCAGUGGCGAAGGUGGCUUACUGGACUGUGACUGACGUUGAGGCUCGAAAGCGUGGGGAGCGAACAGGAUUAGAUACCCCUGUAGUC
rnacentral:rRNA from 1 species